ensembl:lncRNA
AUUCGUCAGUCACAGGACACAACAGAGACAGUGUAUGCUUCUUUCACCACUUCAUAUCCAAACUGUGUCAAAAUGUGGAAGCUCACUCUAACUGCAGGUCUCUGUUUGAUCAUCGCCAGCUUGGGUGUACCUGGCUUUGCGAGAAAUCUUCGAGUUUACAAAACAUCACAUGGAAACCCUUGUUAUGGAAGACCAGAUGGGCUGUACCCCAACCCCAAUGAUCAGCACUCGUAUUACAACUGUGUUUGGGGACGCACCUACAUCCAAAAGUGCCCAGAACAUUUGGUGUAUAGGCAUUCCAUAACUGCUUGUUACUAUCCUGGAUCACCUGUAACAGGCAGUUCAUCUCAUGAAAUCUGUGAUCCCAUGACUACAACCAGUACUCCCACCAUGACUCCCAUGACCACCAGUCGCCCCACCACAACAAUUGCAACAACAACUCACCGUACGACAACAACAAACACGCCCACUACCACCACUAACACCCACCCAGAGCCACCUACUAAAUAAUUUGCACACCUCUGUUAUGGAAAGGCAGGCAGAUACUUUCCUCAUCCAACGGACCCAACACAAUAUAUCCAAUGUGCCAUUCAAGGAAGAGUUUUCAUCCAGUCGUGUGCAGCGGGUUUGACCUUUAAACCGGCAUUCAGUGUCUGUACUUAGAAAUGCGGUCAAGUGUGUCAAUACAUCUGGCCGUGUAUUUACAAUUGUUGUCUUAUAAUUCAAGGUAAUCUAAAUCAGUCUGGUGUGCCUCUUGUUUUUCCACUGCCUACCUAAUUACUUUUAUAUUCACAUUGUGGCAAACCAGGGGGAGGAACAAAGCACUUGGGGCGGAGCCCCAAGCUCCGGUUGGGGGAGGUGAUAAGGGGGAUUUAUUAUCCUGUGCAGGUGCUCCAGCCACUGGGAACGUGGCACUGGUCACACCUGCGGCCUAUCUGGUAAUCAGAGCAGACCCUAGAUAAGGAGAGGAGAAGAGACCGGACGGGAGCAGACGUCGGAGAGGAGGUAACCCCCAGGACUCACCGCUCUACUCUACUCUGCUCCUAACAGGACAAGGAAGCGGGCGCCACGUAGGAGGAGACGCCACAUAUUUCAGUUUGGAAGCCGGUUGGAAGAGCCGUAGUUUUUGACCUUUGUUAUUAAAAGGACCCUUUUUGUUUGCAUUUGCUGUCUGAGUUUCUUAUUUUACGCCCGAAUCUGGCCUCACUCCCCCUGGGUUACCACAUUUUGGUGGAGGAUGCAGGCAGCCUUUACAACCCUUCGGAGGGCCCUGUGC